rnacentral:rRNA from 1 species
CGAAAGCCUGACGGAGCAACGCCGCGUGAGGGAUGGAGGCCUUUGGGCUGUAAACCUCUUUUCUCAAGGAAGAAGAUCUGACGGUACUUGAGGAAUAAGCCACGGCUAAUUCCGUGCCAGCAGCCGCGGUAAUACGGGAGUGGCAAGCGUUAUCCGGAAUUAUUGGGCGUAAAGCGUCCGCAGGCGGCCGUUUAAGUCUGUUGUUAAAUCGUGGAGCUCAACUCCAUCACGGCAAUGGAAACUGUUCGGCUUGAGUAUGGUAGGGGCAGAGGGAAUUUCCGGUGUAGCGGUGAAAUGCGUAGAUAUCGGGAAGAACACCAGUGGCGAAAGCGCUCUGCUGGGCCAUUACUGACGCUCAUGGACGAAAGCCAGGGGAGCGAAAGGGAUUAGGUACCCCUGUAGUCCUGGCCGUAAACGAUGAACACUAGAUGUUGGGGGAAUCGACCCCCUCGGUGUCGUAGCUAACGCGUUAAGUGUUCCGCCUGGGGAGUACGCACGCAAGUGUGAAACUCAAAGGAAUUGACGGGGGCCCGCACAAGCGGUGGAGUAUGUGGUUUAAUUCGAUGCAACGCGAAGAACCUUACCAAGGCUUGACAUCCUGCGAAUCUCUAAGAAAUUAGAGAGUGCCUUCGGGAACGCAGUGACAGGUGGUGCAUGGCUGUCGUCAGCUCGUGUCGUGAGAUGUUGGGUUAAGUCCCGCAACGAGCGCAACCCACGUUUUUAGUUGCCAGCAUUCAGUUGGGCACUCUAGAAAGACUGCCGGUGACAAACCGGAGGAAGGUGCGGACGACGUCAAGUCAUCAUGCCCCUUACGCCUUGGGCUACACACGUACUACAAUGCUGCGGACAAAGAGUAGCGAUCUUGCGAAAGUUAGCUAAUCUCAUAAACCGUGGCUCAGUUCAGAUCGUAGGCUGCAACUCGCCUACGUGAAGGAGGAAUCGCUAGUAAUCGCAGGUCAGCAUACUGCGGUGAAUACGUUCCCGGGCCUUGUACACACCGCCCGUCACACCAUGGAAGUUGGCCAUGCCCGAAGUCGUUACUCUAACCUUUUGGAAGAGGGCGCCGAAGGCAGGGCUAAUGACUGGGGUGAAGUCGUAACAAGGUAGCCGUAGCGGAAGCUGCGGCUGGAUCACCUCCUAA